rnacentral:misc_RNA from 1 species
UCUCCGUAGGUGAACCUGCGGAGGGAUCAUUACAGAGUUCAUGCCCUACCGGGUAGAUCUCCCACCCUAUGUUAUUAUUACUUUGUUGCUUUGGCGGGCCGUUAGGCUCCGGCCCGACUACCGGCCCCGGCUGGUAAGCGCCCGCCAGAGGACCCAAAACCCUGAAAAUUAGUGUCGUCUGAGUUCUAUAUAAUAGUUAAAACUUUCAACAACGGAUCUCUUGGUUCUG